AUAUAUAUUACUCGUAACUCAUGCGCCAGUCUUACCAUUAGUAAACUUUUUACAUGAUUUGUAGUACUUAUUUUACUACCAUUCGCUCGAUCCAUUCAUUCGCUCCACUUAUUCGUACACAUUUAUUCGUAUUUGUCCCCCUCGCUUUCAAACAGUGUUCUAGCGGAGGCACUGGGCAAUUGGGCAUUUAUCCAGCGGUGGAUGUGAUCUACGUAGCCUCCUUGGUGACGUUAUCAUACAGUCUCUUUACCAUAAGAUUUUCACGCGUGUUGAUUCUCGCCCAGUAUCUUUCGUUAAUGGUUUUAAGAGUUCGUUCGAACUAAUGGGACAAUGUCUGGAUUGUUGUCUGUAUCGUUCUUCACGUACAUAAUACGGAAAAACACCUCCACGCUCUCCAGACAUAGACAUUGAUGAAAAUAUACGAAAACGUUUGAAAUGAAAAAUACCGUAAAAUAUAAUAGUUUUCGUUAUAUAUAUGUGUGUAAUAUAGUUAGUUAGUAUAAUUAGUUUUAUAUUUUUAUCGUACAUUGAAAGAGAUUCACGAGCCAGGAAAUAAAAUCUGUAACAAUCUGUGUAGAUGGAUCCAUAGUUCCGUGGAGGUGUCGACUAUUUUGAAUGAAUUUUGUAGAACUAUUUCAAAUUUCAAAUAAAACUCAGAUAACAAGAUCAGACGACAAGGACGCGCUAGUAAAGUUAUGCAUAAAUUUAUGGACGACCUGAAACAUUCAGGUCGGUUUCUAUAUAUACAUAAUUUGUAUAGCAGCAUAUAAUUUACCUCUGAGCUGCUUCAAGGAAAAACUUACAUGAUUCGCAUUCUUGGAGCCAGUGGAAAGCCAAUAAUCCUACCUUUGUAAUAAAAAGGAAACUUUCUGAUGGAAAGAUGAUCCAACAAUGGACCGAUGAUGCAAAUGGAAAGAUGAAAGAGAGGUACACAUUAACUGUAUUCUCCACAUUUUGUAUAGCAAAAAACCAGAACAGUGUGCUGAUAUAAUAAAUAUAUGAAAAGAAUGGAUCAACUUCUUUCGUACUAUGUUAACGCAUGAAAGUCAGCAAAAUGAUAUAAAAAGUCAGGAUUCCAUAUCGUGGAAAUAAUGCUGCUCAAUUCUUUCUUACUAUUUAGAGGAUAUAAAAAUUAAUUUCACUUUGAAAUUAUAAACAUUUUGACCCCAACCUUCCUCUCAAGCUAUCGCACCUAAUCUUGCAGCAUCGUUCAAAUUUUUGAAACAGUAAUCGUUUAUCAGCCUCGUGGAAAAACGAGGCAGACAACAACAAAAAAGAGAGAAAAAGACACGAGAGAGAAAAGGAUAAUUACAUUUUAUCCUGGUUGACCAGGGAAGCCAGGCUUACGCCUAUCAUGUUUUAACCAACUUUACAGAAAUUCAGAAUUUUAUAAAGUCUUGCUUUUGAAAUUAAAUGUCUGCAAAUGACGACAAUUAUGAUUAUAAUUCCAUAAACAACAAUUUUGAAAAUUAUUACGACAAUUCUAUAAAUUGUAUAGAAAUAUAUAUGUAUUAUAUUAUACGUAGAAAUAUUAUAUAUUAAAUAUGUAUAUGUCGGAGAUGAAAAAACACCGGAGCCUUUGGAAUUUUGGAUAAUCCCGCAACAUUGUAACCUAGAGUCUACUAUAGCUGUAAUUAAACAAUUGUAGUUAUUCAA